rnacentral:rRNA from 1 species
UACAGAGGGUGCAAGCGUUGUUCGGAAUUAUUGGGCGUAAAGGGCGCGUAGGCGGUGCUGUAAGUCUGUAGUGAAAUCUCUGGGCUUAACUCAGAGUCUGCUAUAGAAACUGCAGUGCUGGAGUGUGGGAGAGGUGAGUGGAAUUCCCGGUGUAGCGGUGGAAUGCGUAGAGAUCCGGAAGAACACCGGUGGCGAAGGCGGUCUGCUGGGCAGUAGCUGACGCUGAGGCGCGACAGCGUGGGGAGCAAACAGG